GUAUCCGCGCAUACUCUGUACAUCACGGAUGAUUCAAACGUGGCUAUGUUCCCCGGUGCGGUCUCUGGUGUUUUCAGCGCAUUAGACCUUACACCCAGAGGUCACUAUGAAGUCCACGGAGAAGACAUGGAGUCAAUUCCAACAGCAGGUUCCAGCGGGCAGCGUUUUGCAUUUAUGCGAGCACCAGCUGUGGCAGCGUCUGCACCUUCACGUUCACAGCAGGCUACUUCAAGUUCCCCUAUGUCCUCCAAAACAUUUCAGAGGUAGGAUGAGUCUGUGUUCUUGAAUAUUAAAUUACAGAACAGGCAAAAUAAAAAGAAACAUAAGGUGCAUGGAUAGUUGAAUUGUUAAGAAUAGCAAAGCUGUUUUAGUACAAUUUGCCUAUAGCAAUCACUGAAUGGAUUUGUGGCCUGCUGUCUUUUACAAGAUAUGUAAAAUUAUUAUGUUUUGUUUUACAGAUCAGUGUACUUUGCAGAUGUAGUUGGUGGGAGGUUGAUUCCCAAUAGAAUGGUGGUUGUACGAUUCCUGGAGUCUGAGGCUACGCUUCAAGGGAUAGUAGGAAAAGUGCAAGAUGCCAUUGGUAAUUACAACCCAAUAAUUUUGACAGAUGCACAGGGCAAUGCAAUUCUGGAGUCGGAGGGCACAACAGGGUCACAGUACUGGAGACAAAAUGCACGAAAAAUUCUUGCUGUGCCUGAACAAGACUUUAAUUGCCUCCAGGGAACAAAGAGGAAGAAACUGAGCAGCCGUAAAGAUGAUGACAGUGCCAGUUUGGGAGAAGUGAGUGACAAAAUAGAAGAGUUGGUGUUGGCAUCUCAAAGUCUGCCAGCUGUCACAGCAGCAAUCAAAGAGCUCACUGAUCUUGCAGUUGCCCAGAAAGUCACAACCCCCAAGCUGCAGACACUCAAGGAGGGAUUUAGCUGCGUGGUUUGUAUGAACAUCAUUGAGGAUCCAGUGUUCUCACUGUGCUGCAGAAGCAUUAUUGGCUGCAAGACAUGUGUGGAACAGUGGCAAGAGACAUCACAGCACUGUGCAAAAUGCAGGGAGAGUAACAACGGAGUUCUACAAAUUACUGGUCUAACAGCUGCAUUUUCUGUAUUGAAAUCUUUUUUUGCAGAGGAGUAA
rnacentral:lncRNA from 1 species